CGAAUGGGUCCAAAGACUCUUAAAACCUACCGUGCUCCCCUACGUGGAAAACCAGGGUAAGCCCUCCGGGGCAUAGGAAAUCUGAGAAGUUGAGAACUGCGCCCCGGCGCAUGACUAAAACAAAAAAUUA
rnacentral:misc_RNA from 1 species